AAUCGGCAAUUUCCGCCGCUCCAAGCACAGGGCAGAUUCCUCUCAAUUUCGGUUCCUUCUUCCUCUUUUAUUUUCCUUUUAUUAUUUUGUUUUUAAUUCAGCCAAUGAGUGGCUGAUUCUUUUAAUUCUAGUUGAGGAUUGGUUGAAACUAAGGUUGUUUAAUGGGUUGUGAGAUCUGAACAUAAAUUAUCGUCUUUGGUUUUGUUCAAUAUUUAUGCAAUUGAUGCUUUAAUUAUAUGAUUACUUUGUUGUUUUGAUCAAAUUGGCCACUUGGUUUUAAUUGCAAAGUUAAUUGAUUGUUAGUUGGGAUUAUUUUUAGUCCGUAAUUACUGGAAAUAUUCUGACCUUAGAACACUUGGCGUAAAAACCAAGGAAUUGCAUGAUCUAGCGUUAUCUCCAUACGUUUGGGUAGCUAGGAUUGGAUCUCUCUAUUUCUUUAUGCAAUUGACAAUUGUUUUGAUGCCUAUGACCCAAGGACGUUCCUUGGCAAUUUGUUAAUUAGUAAUUAAUUUAAUCAUAAGGAGAGACAUGGUGGUGAGAAGCGUCUUCCACCCCCAUAACUAAUCUAUUGAACCAAUCAAGAUAAUCUAAGUUUCAAUGAUCAACCCAAACAACCAAAGUGGAUCCAUAUCUUCAACUAGACUUCUCUCAUAUUGAUUUUCUCUUUUAUUUUAAUUAUUUGCUUUCUAUUAUUACUCUCAUUAUUAGUUACUACAAUCAAUCUCAAACCCCCCUAUUCUACUUUUAUUGCAAUUUAUUUUUAUUCUGCUUCCAGUUUAUCUCAUUUGAUCCCACUUUCAGUCUUUUAUCUCAUCUUUAAUUUAUUAUUGUUUCAGUUCAUUUUAUUGGUCUUGUUGAGAAAAAUAAAUAGGUAAUCAAUUCUCUGUGGAUUCGAUCCUUUCACCACUAUCUGCAGUUGUAAAAUUGUUGAUAACCAGGAAGGUUAUUUUUGACCGGCUUCGACAACCGCGAGUCAAAAAUUGGCGCCGUUGCCGGGGAAUUAAUUUCACUUGUUUGUUUGUUUUUUUUUUCAUGACCAGAUCUGAACACAGGGACACACUGCCCUUUGAUCCAAAAAUUGAACGCACUCUCAGAAGACUUAGAAAGCAAGCCGCAGAAGCUUCAUCUGAAGCAAUCGAAUUUUACCAACAAGCUGCACCAAUGGCUGAACCUAUUCCACAAGAUGCUGCCCCAAAUGGACUUGCUAUCCAGAACCAAAUAGUCCAAGAAAAUCCAGCAAAUAGGCCUCAAGAACAAAGAGAAAGAAUUAUGGGAGAAUUGGCAACCCCUGUAGGUGACUAUGCACCACUUUGCAUCACCUACCCACCUCUGACAGUUCCCUUUGAACUGAAGACAGGUUUGAUACACAUUCUCCCUAAGUUUAGUGGUAGAGAAAAUGAAAAUCCACACAAGCACUUAAAAGCAUUCAAUAUGAUCUGUUCAUCUAUGAAACCUCAAGGUAUCUCUGAAGACCAAAUUAAGUUAAGAGCCUUCCCCUUUUCAUUAGAAGACUUUACUAAAGAUUGGUUAUUUUACUUGCCACCUGGAUCUAUUACUUCUUGGGAUGAUAUGGUCAAAGCCUUUUUGAAUAAAUACUUCCCAACCCAUAAAUCAAUUGGUAUAAUAAGGGAAAUCACAAGCAUAAAGCAAAAACCAUCUGAGGACCUUUAUGAUUAUUGGGAAAGAUUUGAAACACUUUGCACAGAAUGCCCUCAACAUGACAUGUCAGACAAGGCCCUUAUACAAUUCUUCUAUGGAGGAUUAUCUCCCUUAGAAAGAAAAUUCAUUUAUGUAACCUGUGGAGGCUCCAUUGAAGACAAAACACCUAGACAAAUGAGAGAAUUAAUCUCCACUCUUGCAGCCUCAUCUAGGCAAUAUGGAGAAGAGAGGCAACUACAAAGGGCCAAUGAGGUAAAUUUUCCUUCUAUGUCUGAACUAACAUCUGUUAUAAAAAAUGCUGUGGUAGAUGUGGUACAGCAGAUUCAAGCACCCCAGCCACCUAGGCCAUGUGGGAUUUGUUUAUGUGUGGGACACCUAACUGAUCAAUGUUCCACACUCCAAGAAGACCAUCAGCAAGCCAACGCCAUUGGGAGGUACAACAACCAGCCUAGAUAUGAUCCAUACUCCACUACAUACAAUCCAGGUUGGAAAGAUCACCCCAAUUUUAGCUAUGGAAAGAGCAACAGUGAUCAGAACUACCAAAGUUACCAAAGAAAUCAAGCCCAACCAGCACCUUCAACUCCAAAUCAGAACCUUGAGAAGAUCAUGCAAACAAUGAUGGAAACAAUGGUGAGCACCAUGCAAGGCGUGCGACAAGACCUAGGCCAAAUGACCACAUCUAUGCAAGGCGUGCGACAGGACCUAAGCCAAAUGGCCACCUCUAUAGGCCAACUGCAAUCCCAAGGUAAGCUCCCUUCUCAAACUGAAACCAACCCCAGACAGAAUGUUAGUGCUAUUACUUUGAGAAGUGGCAAAGAGCUUCGAGACACUAAUCAUGAGCAAGAAAAAGAACCAAAGCCACCUGAAGCCUCUCCAUCGCAAUCUGCAGCUCCUCCUGCGCAAAAAACUGACCCAAAGGUAAGCUUUCACAUUCCACCUCCUUUUCCCAAGAGAUUUGAAAGAACACAAAAAGAAAAGGAAGAAAAGGAGAUCCUUGACACUUUCAGAAAAGUACAAAUCAAUAUACCUCUGCUAGAUGCUGUUAAGCAGAUUCCCAUAUACGCUAAAUUUCUGAAAGAACUUUGCACUAAUAGGAGAAAGCUUGCAGAGAGAGAAAAAGUAAGUGUAGGUGAGGUUGUGACUGCUGUUAUUAAAAGAGAACUCCCUACUAAAUGCAAAGACAAAGGUAUGUUUGCUAUCUCCUGCAAGAUAGGGAAUGUUGAUAUUAAGAAAGCCAUGUGUGAUCUUGGUGCAUCCAUAAAUGUCAUGCCUCUCUCCAUCUAUAAAUCUCUCAAUGCUUGUGCACUCAAAGAAACAAGAGUUGUGAUUCAACUAGCUGAUAGAUCUGUGGUAUAUUCCAUAGGUGUUCUAGAAGAUGUGUUAGUUCAAGUAAAUGAACUAGUCUUUCCUGCUGAUUUUUAUGUGAUUGAUACUAAGGAAGAUAGUUAUAAUACUAGUUCUGAUAUCCUUCUUGGACGUCCUUUCUUGAGUCCUGCUAGAACUAAGAUUGAUGUGCAUGAUGGUACUCUCACUAUGGAAUUUGAAGGGGAAGUAAUUAAAUUUAAUGUCUAUGAUGCUAUGAAAUAUCCAUAUGAUAUGUCACCUGUUUAUGGUCUUGAUAUUGUUGACUGCUUGAGCCAGGAAAUUUUUGACAAAAAUCAAGAUGAUAUUCUUAACAGUGAUUUCUGCAGAGAUACUGAUCAGGUAUAGAUUGAGAGCCAGAAAGAGCCAAAACUGAAAGAAAUUGUCUGUAGCAUCCAGCAGAUAGUUUACAGUCAAGCACAGAACGAGGGAAACUCCCUUCAGAAGGAUGCGCAGAAGAGCCUUGCGCCAUCUGAAACACCUUCAUGCGCAACUCUUCAGCUCCUAACGCAAAGCUCACCCGCGACUCUUCAUGCGCAACUCUCAUUAUUAGUUACUACAAUCAAUCUCAAACCCCCCAUUCUACUUUUAUUGCAAUUUAUUUUUAUUCUGCUUCCAGUUUAUCUCAUUUGAUCCCACUUUCAGUCUUUUAUCUCAUCUUUAAUUUAUUAUUGUUUCAGUUCAUUUUAUUGGUCUUGUUGAGAAAAAUAAAUAGGUAAUCAAUUCUCUGUGGAUUCGAUCCUUUCACCACUAUCUGCAGUUGUAAAAUUGUUGAUAACCAGGAAGGUUAUUUUUGACCGGCUUCGACAACCGCGAGUCAGAUACAAUCCCAUACAUGAUCAUACUUUGGCAUAAAAACUUAAACUUUUUCAUACACCAACCUUGACCUGUGCAUGCACUAUAACUGAAAACAUACAAACCCCAUACUAGAGCCCUCAUCAAAUGCUCUAGUUGGGUCAACACAUCAUAUGUCAAGCCUGAUUCAACAUAACUCAGCAUUAAAACAUUUCAUAUAGAUCAUGUACAAAAGGGAUUAACCAUACAUUAGGGCCAAGCACAAUUCUAAUCCUCAUUACAUCACUAUACAAUACUUUACACUACAUUACUUUAUUUUACAUACCAUGUCCACUACUAAUCUAUUACAUAACUAUAACUUUUACCCUUGACGACCUCCCAGUCUAUUCUGAACCUGCAAACCUGGGGGUUAAGAAAAAGGGGUGAGCUACAAGAGCCCACUGAGCAGAACAAUAAAAACAAUUUCUAAACAUAUGCCAUCAUAAAAUGCAUCACAUCACAAACAAUUCAUGUCACGGAUGGAUUUGUCACCAAUAACCCUCUACAUAGUCCAAUUGUGCCAGGGGCGUAGAAUGGGCCUCACUGGACUUCCAUACCGUAUCAUAACAUGCCAUAUCGAGGGCUAGUGGAUCAUCCAAUAUCCAUCCACAUCAACAUCAUAUUAUGCAAUGCAUCAUAUUCGUGAAUUCUAAUGCAAAACAACCUAAUAUAUAUCGUGGCAUUCGUGAUGCAUGGAUCAUGCUAAAAAGAUUUCAUUGCGUUGAAAAUAAAAGAAGUUCUGUUCUACUCACCUCUGGCUGACUCUGGACUAACUCUGAAGCAGCUAACACUGCUGGCCUCCUCGGUUCCUCGGGUUCGAUCCUACACAGGUGGACUCAAAUGAGGGACCAAACAAACUCUAAACAUCUCCCCAAAAACCCCCUAAAACAUUCAAAGAAAACAUGCAAAGGAAGGCUGAACAGGGCACUUUCGGUGGCAGGUUCGGCGGCCGAAAGUCCCUCCAGAGCUGAAAGUCAGGCACUUUCAGGGGCAGGGUUCGGCGGCCGAAAGUCCUUCCAGAGCCGAAAGUCACCCACUUUCGGGGGCAGGUUCGGCGGCCGAAACUCCCCUCCAGAGUCGAAAGUCCAAACUUUCGGGGGCGAGUUUAGGCGGCCAAACUGCCUCCACAGGCAGGUUCAGCGGCCGAACAUGGCUUCGACAGCCGAAAAUGGCAAAACCCAAUUCCGCCUCAUGCAUUCAGCCACCCAAAACUUCACAACAUGCAUUUAACCAUUCUAAAACAUGUAUAAACACUUAUUCAAGCAUAUAGGGGCAUAAAACUAGGCUAAACCCCAACAAGCAUCACAUUAAGCAUACAUUUAACAUAAAGGGUACAUAAACCCUAAUAUUAAACAACUAGCCUAAACAUGCAUUAAAACCCCUUAACCCUUCAUAAAACUUACUUAGAACAUAAAAGAAGAUAUAACCUACACUUACCUCUUGAAGAUCGAGAUGAGAGGUGAUCCAAACUUGGAGAUUGGGAGAAAUCGAGCUCCGGGGGUCUCCAAGCCUCAAAACUUUAAUCUUAGCUCAAAAAUAUUCAAAACAACGUAAAACUCAUCAAAAACUUGAAAAGAUUGAAGGAAAACAACAAAUCGACCAUGGAAGGGCAAAAUCUCACCUAUGCCCGAAAAUAGAGAGAGAAAACUCGCCCAUUUUCGAACAAGGGGCCUUUUAUAAGUGGCUGGCCAGACUACCUUUGGGGGCCAAAGGUACUUCCGCAAACUCCCCAUGUUCGGCGGCCGAACCUGAGUUUUCUUCCUUGGUCUUUUCUUUCAAAACUCAUUUUCUUUCUUUAUUAAAACCAUAAAAACACAUGAAAACACUUUAGAAAACCAUAAUUUACCCUUCUAUAGGGUUUCGACAUUCGAGGUUCCACUGGAAAGUGAGAAUUCUGAUGCCGGAGCCUAGCCGGGUAUUACAUUCUUCCCCCCUUAAGAACAUUCGUCCCCGAAUGUUCAAUAAACAAGCAUAGCAUGGCAUAACACACAUACCAACAAGGAAGCUGUAAUACCCGGUUAGACUCCGGUAUCAGAAUUCCUACCGUCCGGUGGAAUCUCGGAUGUCGAAAACCUCUAGAAGGGAAAAAUCAUGUUUUUAUAAAAUAUUUUAAUGUAUUUUAUGUUUUAAGUGAAAAGGAAAUUGAGUUUUGUAUGAAAAAGACCAAGGAGGCAUUUCCAGGUUCGGCCGUCGAACCUCAAGUUCGGCCGCCGAAGGUGGGAUGGUUUAGGGGGGCAUGUUAGGCUUCCGAAAGUCUCAAAAGGUUCGGCCGCUGAACCUCAUGUUCGGCCGCCGAACUUGCAUGAGAUGUGGGGGCACGUUCGGCUGCCGAAAGGUGGUCUGCCAGCCCUAUAUAAAGAGCUCCAUGGCCGAAACGGGCGAGUUUUCUCCCCAUUUUCGGCCACGGUGAGUUCAUGCUCUCCUUUGGUUCGUUUUUGAUGUUUUUCCUACGAUCUCUCACAUUUUAACAAGCUUUAUAUUGAUUUGAAGAGAUUUGAGCAAAAAGAGCAAGUUUGGAAGCUUGGAGACUAAAGAGUGGAUUUCUCCCUACCUCCAAGCUAGGAUCAUCUUUCCUCUAGAUCUUCAAGAGGUAAGUUUAGAUCCAACCUUUCUGGCAUGUUUUAAACUAGUUUUUAUGAAGAUCUAUGGGGUAGAAAUGCAUGAUAGGUUAUUGUUAUGUUUAUGGGUGUAUGUAUGUUUAUGAACAAUGUGGGUUGUUUGAUGUGUUGUAGAUGGGGUUUAGGAUAGUUUGAAGCCCCUAGGAGCUUGUAUGCUUGUGGAUGCAUGUUGUAGAAUAGGAAAAUGCAUGAUUGAAUGUGUUGGGAGGCGUUUAUGCAUGUUGAGCUGAGUUUCUGCCCUUCUGGGAGAAACCAGGUUAGGCAGCCGAAGGUUCUUUCGGCCGUCGAACCUGCCUGUGAUAGCAUGAAUCGGCUGCCAAACCCUGCCCCCGAAAGAUGACUUUCGGCUCUGGAAGGGACUUUCGGUCGCCAAAGGUACCGCCGAACAUGCAUGAGUUUCGUCUCUGGAGGGAACCUUCGGUCGCCGAAAGUGCCGCCGAAGGUGCAUGAGUUUCGGCUCUGGAGGGCCUUUCGGCCGCCGAACCUGCCGCCGAAAGUGCCCUGUUCAGCCCUCCUUUACAUGUUUUCUAUGGAUGUUUUAAGGUGUUUUAGGGGGUUUUUGGAGAGUAUUUUCAGAGUUAUGUUCAUAGAUGUUUGGUCCCUCAUUUGAGUCCACCUGUGUAGGUUUGGACCCGAGGAACCGAGGACCCCAGCAGUGAGUCAGCUGCCCCAGUGUCUGGUCUGAGCUAACCAGAGGUGAGUGGAAUAACUCUUUACGUUUUAAAAUAAAUAAUAAAUGAUUCAGCAUGAUUCAUGCAUCACGAAUGCCAUGUGAUAUAAUAGGUUGUUGCAUUAGAAUCCACGAAUAUGUUGCACUGCAUUCUUUAUUGUGGAUGUGGGUGAAUGCUGUAUGAUCCAAAUAGUCCCUGAGGAAAGACCAGGACCCCAUUCUACGGCCUGGCAUGGAAUGAAAGACCAGGACCCCAUUCUAUGGCCUGGCACAAUAUGGAAUGCGAAGACCAGGUGCCAGGUGCCAGAUGAGGCCCUAGGGAAAUGGUAAGUAAUGUUAUGAUAUGACAGGAAGACCAGAACUCCAUUCUACGGCCUGGCACGGAUAUGAUGCUGGGACUAAUUAGUGACAGGUUCACCCUUGAUGUGAAUUGUCUGUGAUGUGACUCAUUUCAUGAAAGCAUGAAUGUUAAUAUAUGUUUUUACUAUUCUGCUCACUGGGCUCUAGUAGCUCACCCCUCUCCCUUAACCCCCAGGUUUGCAGGUACAGGGUAGACCAGGAGGUCAGCAAGAGUAAUGAAGUCAUGGUCAUGUAAUAGCUAGAGUGGACAUGAUAAAUGUUGUUAUGUUAUGUUGAGUACAGUAAUGUAAAAGUAUGAUAUAGAAUGUCAUGUAAUAAUGCUUAUGAAAGUUUAUAGUUGUACUUGACCAUAGUAUUAUGUUAAUCCCUUCUAAUACAUGAUCUUAAUGUUUAAUGAUGCUUAUAUGAACCAAACUCAAUACAUGUUAUAUCACCCCUUUGGGGCAAUGAUGAGACUCCACAGAGAAGUUAAUGUUUAUGUAUAGUGCAUGCACAGGUUGAGUUUGGUGAAUGAAUGAAUGGAAAGAAAAGUUUAAAUUUUUUAUGUUUGUUGUUGAUCAUGUAUGGGAUUAAACAGGUUUACAGGAUGAUGUUAGGCUUACUACGGGUCCCGGCGGCCUUAUGCCGACCUGGAUCCUAGCGCUGGUAGCGGUCCGAAUUUUUGGGUCGUUACAGAUUGGUAUCAGAGCCCUAGGUUCAUAUGGUCGGACCUAGAGUGUCGGGCUCAUAGAUGUUAUAGAAGGUCAAGCACAAUAGGAAAAUCAUGUCUACUAGGAUAGGAUGUAGAGUCCUGUCUUGAUUGAUGAUGUGAAAUGCCAUGAGUUUAUGCAUGUGCAUUAAUGAUAUGCUAUGUAUGUGACGUAUGCGAUGCGGGUUCAUGUGUUUGCACAUGAACCAUUUGAUGCUAAUGUUUAUGUGAUGUGUGCUGUUUUUCAGUAAACAGGAUGAGAGGAACUCGUCGAUCUGCACGAUUGACUGGAGUACCACCCCAGGACGAGGGCACUGAUGCCCGUCCUCCUGCAUUGCCUAGGGCAAUGUCAAGUAGGUCCAGCAGAGAAAGAGCAGUAAGAGACCCUAGAAGGUCUUUAGAUCUGGGUAGAAGCACAUCAGUGAGGGGAACAGUGCAAAGGGAUAUGUCAGAGGAUGUGGGGGAUCAGAUGGAUGUGGAUCAGAAGAGGGAUGGUAGUCUCGGAGUAAGUAUGUCGGAAGAGGGAAUGAGAGAGUCCCAAGGAGGCACUCAGGCCUCGGGAUUUGUUCAGCCACCUUACUACCCAUCCUUUUCACAUAACCCCGGGUAUUCGAUGGGAGGUACAUCGGAUUAUCCCAGUUUUAACCCUUAUCCCUCUCAGAUGCCAUACCCACCUUUCUACCCACCGUACCCACAGUACCCCAUGUACCCACCCCCAUCUUUCUAUCCAGGUACAGCAAACCCUACCCCAGGGGAUGCUGCACCUCCUCCACCACCAGCAGCACCUACUGUCCCAGAAAUCCAAAUGCCUAAGCCUAGCUCAUCUGGGGGGAGCAAGGUCAAGAUGAUCGAUUACAUGAAGUUGGGUGCUCCCCAGUUUGAAACCGGUGAUGACCCAUUUGUGUACCUUGAGAGGGUCAAGACAAUUACAGAUGAGAUAGGAGCUGAUGACAGUAGAGCCAUCCAGAUGGCUAGGUUCACAUUAAAAUGCAAGAAGGCCCGAGAGUGGUUUAAGAAUUAUGUGAACCCGAGGUUGGAUAGUCUAUCCUGGGAAGAGUUUGCAAAUGAGUUUGCAGGAUGGGCUUUCCCUGACAGUUCCAAGGAGCUGAAAAUGAUUGAAUUUGAGCAGUUGAGGCAGACAGAUGAGAUGAGCGUGGAUGAGUAUACAGACAGAUUCUUGGAGCUGUUGCCGUAUGCUGGGCAGAAUCUGGACACAGAUCAGAGGAAGUCAAGGAGGUAUAUCAUGAGGCUCCAUUCCAUGUACUCCUCCUUGAUUCAGUCAGCAGAGAGGGAGAGUUUCCAUGCCAUAGUGGAUAUGGCUCGGAGGAUGGAGGCUAGUGCUAUCAUCGAAGGGAAAGUCAAGCAGUCAGUGGCACAGCCUUCUGGUUCCAAGACCCCAGGUGGGGGAAAGUUAGACCCUUCUUCUCUCAGUUCAGGCAGUAAGAGAUGGGGUAAGGCCAAGUCUAAGAAGAACAAGUUCUGGAGCAAGAUUAAGUCAGGUCUGGGAUUAGGUAGUGGCUCAAGCUCUGGUGCAGAUAAUGCAGUAUGUGCAAGGUGUGGUAAGCCACACAAGGGAGUCUGCCGGGCUAGGACGGCAGCCUGUUUCAGAUGUGGGCAAGAGGGCCACAUGGCUCGGGAGUGUCCUAGGGCAGCCUUUGGGGCACAGUCUCAGCAGACAGCUUCAGGUAGUGUGGCACAGCCAGUAGCUCCAGCCGCGACUCAGGCUAGUGGUAGAGGCAGAGAAAGAGGGGCAGCCUCUUCUUCAGCGGGUUUCAGGGGUGAGGGUCUGUCAGCUCCAGCACGGAUCUUUACCAUGACUCAGCAGGAGGCAAACACAUCCAACACCGUGGUGUCAGGUAAUCUCAUCAUUGGUUGUUCCGAUGUGUAUGCAUUAUUGGACCCUGGUGCAUCUCAUUCUUUCAUUGCUUCGAGGGCCGUCGAGAGAUUGGGAUUGAUGGUCUUUGGGUUAGAGUGUCCCCUAUGGGUCAGUGGACCCAAGUGUGACCCGUCAGUGGUAGAGUCAAUCUGCCAGUGUAGUCCAGUUUUUAUAGAGGGAAGAUGCCUUUCUGCCGACCUUGUGGUUCUAGACUUGAAUGAUUUUGACGUCAUUCUAGGGAUGGAUUGGCUAUCUACCCAUGGUGCUACCUUGGAUUGCAGAGACAAGGUAGUCAGGUUCAGAUGUCAGGAUGGGUCAGAGGUUGUCUUCAGAGGAGACAGGGGGAGUACACCUAGAGGUUUGAUAUCAGCCCUUCAGGCUCGUAGGCUACUCAGGAGGGGUUGUCAGGGUUUUCUGGCUCAUGUGAGGGAGCUGGAUAGUCAUGUUAGAGAGCCCGCCUCAGUGCCCGUGGUCAGUGAGUUCUUAGACGUUUUCCCAGACGAGCUGCCAGGUUUACCACCUGCUAGGGAGAUAGAGUUCGAAAUUGAGUUAAUGCCUGGAACCAGACCGAUCUCUAUCCCUCCCUACAGGAUGGCACCAGCAGAAUUGAAAGAGUUAAAAGAACAGUUGCAAGAGCUGGUAGAUAGGGGAUUCAUCCGAUCGAGUACCUCACCUUGGGGUGCUCCAGUGCUAUUUGUGAAAAAGAAAGAUGGAUCCCUUAGACUUUGUAUCGACUACAGACAGUUGAACAAGGUCACUACCAAGAAUAAGUACCCGUUGCCAAGGAUCGACGAUCUAUUUGACCAGCUAGCCGAAGCAGUUUGUUUCUCCAAAAUAGAUCUGAGAUCGGGGUACCAUCAGUUAAGAAUAAGAGAAGAGGAUGUGCCGAAGACAGCCUUAAGGACCAUAUAUGGGCAUUAUGAGUUCCUUGUGAUGCCGUUCGGGUUAACCAAUGCCCCUGCAGCAUUCAUGGAUCUCAUGAACAGAGUGUUUAGUCAAUACCUGGAUCACUUUGUUAUUGUCUUCAUAGAUGAUAUCUUAGUGUAUUCCAGGAAUGCAGAGGAGCAUGCCCAUCAUCUGAGGUUGGUUUUGCAGACCUUGAGGGAACAUGGCUUGUAUGCCAAGUUCUCCAAGUGUGAGUUCUGGCUGAGGAGCAUUUCAUUCUUGGGGCAUGUGGUGUCAGAAAAUGGAAUCGAGGUAGACCCCAAGAAAGUGGAAGCUAUAGCGAACUGGCCUAGACCCACUACAGUGACAGAGAUCAAGAGCUUCUUGGGUUUAGCAGGUUACUACAGGAGGUUCGUUCAGGACUUCUCUAAGAUUGCAGCUCCCAUGACCAGACUGACUAAGAAGAACUAGAGGUUUGCGUGGACCGACCAGUGUGAGGAGAGCUUUGAGGAGCUAAAGAAGAGGUUGACUUCAGCACCAGUGUUAGCUCUGCCAUCUAGUGAUGAAGACUUCUCAGUCUAUUGUGAUGCGUCCCGUGUGGGACUGGGUUGUGUGCUAAUGCAGAAUGAAAGGGUGAUUGCUUAUGCUUCUAGGCAGCUAAAGAAGCACGAGUUGAAUUACCCUAAACAUGACCUAGAGAUGGCAGUGGUGAUCUUUGCACUCAAGAUGUGGAGGCACUACCUUUAUGGGGUUAAAUGUGAGAUCUUCACAGAUCAUAAAAGCCUACAGUACAUCCUGAGUCAGAGAGAUUUGAAUUUGAGGCAGAGAAGAUGGGUAGAACUGCUCAGUGACUAUGAUUGCAAGAUCCAGUACCAUCCGGGUAAGGCGAAUGUUGUGGCAGACGCCUUAAGCCGGAAAUCACUUGGCAGUUUGUCCCAUAUUUCAGCAGAGAGGAGGCCAGUAGUAAGGGAGUUCUUCGAGCUCAUGAAUGAAGGUCUACAGUUGGAGUUGUCUGGUACAGGUGCUUUAGUUGCCCAGAUGAGAGUGGCACCCGUGUUUCUGGAACAGGUGGCUCAGAAACAGCAUGAGGACCCAGAGUUAGUGAAGAUUGCCAGGACUGUUCAGUCAGGCAAAGAUAGUGAGUUUAGAUUUGACAAUAAGGGGAUCAUCCACUAUGGGAGCAGAUUGUGUGUACCAGAUGACAUAGGGCUAAAGGGAGACAUUAUGAGAGAGGCUCAUAAUGCCAGGUACAGUGUUCACCCUGGAGCCACCAAGAUGUAUCAAGAUAUGAAGAAAGUGUAUUGGUGGCCAGCUAUGAAGAAAGAAGUGGCACAGUUUGUGUCAGCCUGCGAAGUGUGUCAGAGGGUGAAGCUGGAACAUCAGAAGCUGGCUGGAAUGCUUAACCCACUACCUAUUCCAGAGUGGAAAUGGGAGAAUAUAGUUAUGGAUUUCGUGGUGGGGCUACCGGCGGCGUCCAACAGAUUGGACUCCAUAUGGGUGAUUGUGGACAGACUCACCAAAUUUGCUCACUUCAUCCCUGUCAGGAGUGGCUAUUCUGUGGACAAGUUAGCGCAGGUGUAUGUUGAUAAGGUUGUCAGGUUGCAUGGGGUUCCUGUCUCAAUAGUGUCUGAUAGAGGGCCCCAGUUCACCUCCAGGUUUUGGCGGAGUCUGCAGAACGCUAUGGGUACCAGGUUGGAUUUUAGCACUGCUUUCCAUCCACAAACGGACGGACAAUCAGAGAGGACCAUCCAGACAAUAGAGGAUAUGCUCAGAAUGUAUGUGUUGGAUUUUGGCGGUUCUUGGAGGCAGCAUCUACCUUUAAUGGAGUUUGCCUACAAUAACAGCCAUCAUGCCAGCAUAGGGAUGGCCCCAUAUGAAGCUUUCUAUGGAAGGAAGUGCAGGUCGCCUGUCUGUUGGGAAGAAGUAGGAGAAAAGGCCUUGGCAGGGCCUGAGCUAGUAGAGAUCACCAGCAGAGUGGUGCCCAUAAUCAGAGAAAGGAUCAAGACUGCUGCAAGCAGACAGAAGAGUUGUGCAGAUAUCCGCAGAAGGCAAGUGGAGUUUCAGGAGGGAGAUUUGGUAUUGCUCAAGGUGUCUCCAAUGAAAGGGGUGAUUCAGUUUGGGAAGAAAGGUAAGCUAGCUCCACGGUACAUUGGACCCUUUGAAGUCUUGCAAAAGAUUGGGAAUGUAUCGUACAAGCUGGACUUGCCUGCUUCAAUGGAGAGAAUCCAUCCGGUUUUCCAUGUUUCCAUAUUAAGAAAGUUCGUGUCAGAUCCGGGCAAGGUUCUUAGUGAGCCUGAUGUGGAGAUCCAAGGGGAUCUCACCUAUGUUGAGCAGCCAGUACGGAUCCUAGACACCCAGAUCAGAAAGCUAAGAAACAAGGAAAUCCCGAUGGUGAAAGUCCUUUGGAAUCACCACAACAUCGAAGAGUGUACUUAGGAGACACGGGAGUCUAUGCUCCGGUAAUAUCCUAAUCUCUUCUAAGGUGAGUUUUAUAUGCUUUGUAUGAAUGUUUAUGUUUUAUGCUAUGCAUGUGUUGUUUGGUGAACAUUCAGGGACGAAUGUUCUUAAGGGGGGAAGAAUGUAAUACCCAGCUAGACUCCGGUAACGGAAUUCCUACCGUCCGGUGGAAUCUCGGAUGUCGAAAACCUCUAGAAGGGAAAAAUCAUGUUUUUAUAAAAUAGUUUAAUGUAUUUUAUGUUUUAAGUGAAAAGGAAAUUGAGUUUUGUAUGAAAAAGACCAAGGAGGCAUUUCCAGGUUCGGCCGCCGAACCUCAAGUUCGACCGCCGAAUGUGGGAUGGUUUAGGGGGGCAUGUUAGGCUUCCGAAGGUCUCAAAAGGUUCGGCCGCCGAACCUCAUGUUCGGCCGCCGAACUUGCAUGAGAUGUGGGGGCACGUUCGGCUGCCGAAAGGUGGUCUGCCAGCCCUAUAUAAAGAGCUCCAUGGCCGAAACGGGCGAGUUUUCUCCCCAUUUUCGGCCACAGUGAGUUCAUGCUCUCCUUUGGUUCGUUUUUUAUGUUUUUCCUACGAUCUCUCACGUUUUAACAAGCUUUAUAUUGAUUUGAAGAGAUUUGAGCAAAAAGAGCAAGUUUGGAAGCUUGGAGACCAAAGAGUGGAUUUCUCCCUACCUCCAAGCUAGGAUCGUCUUUCCUCUCGAUCUUCAAGAGGUGAGCUUAGAUCCAACCUUUCUUGCAUGUUUUAAACUAGUUUUUAUGAAGAUCUAUGGGGUAGAAAUGCAUGAUAGGUUAUUGUUAUGUUUAUGGGUGUAUGUAUGUUUAUGAACAAUGUGGGUUGUUUGAUGUGUUGUAGAUGGGGUUUAGGAUAGUUUGAAGCCCCUAGGAGCUUGUAUGCUUGUGGAUGCAUGUUGUAGAAUAGGAAAAUGCAUGAUUGAAUGUGUUGGGAGGCGUUUAUGCAUGUUGAGCUGAGUUUCUGCCCUUCUGGGAGAAACCAGGUUCGGCAGCCGAAGGUUCUUUCGGCACCCGAACCUGCCUGUGGUAGCAUGAAUCGGCUGCCGAACCCUGCCCCCGAAAGAUGACUUUCGGCUCUGAAAGGGACUUUCGGCUCUGAAAGGGACUUUCGGCCGCCGAAGGUGCCGCCGAACAUGCAUGAGUUUCGUCUCUGGAGGGAACCUUCGGCCGCCGAAAGUGCCGCCGAAGGUGCAUGAGUUUUGGCUCUGGAGGGCCUUUCGGCCGCCGAACCUACCGCUGAAAGUGCCCUGUUCAGCCCUCCUUUGCAUGUUUUCUAUGGAUGUUUUAAGGUGUUUUAGGGGAUUUUUGGGGAGUAUUUUCAGAGUUAUGUUCAUAGAUGUUUGGUCCCUCAUUUGAGUCCACCUGUGUAGGUUUGGACCCGAGGAACCGAGGACCCCAGCAGUGAGUCAGCUACCCCAGUGUCUGGUCUGAGCUAACCAGAGGUGAGUGGAAUAACUCUUUACGUUUUAAAAUAAAUAAUAAAUGAUUCAGCAUGAUUCAUGCAUCACGAAUGCCAUGUGAUAUAAUAGGUUGUUGCAUUAGAAUCCACGAAUAUGUUGCACUGCAUUCUUUAUUAUGGAUGUGGGUGAAUGCUGUAUGAUGUAAAUAGUCCCUGAGGAAAGACCAGGACCCCAUUCUACGGCCUGGCAUGAUAUGGAAUGCGAAGACCAGGUGACAGAUGAGGCCCUGGGUAAAUGGUAAGUAAUGUUAUGAUAUGACAGGAAGACCAGGACCCCAUUCUACGGCCUGGCACGGAUAUGAUGCUGGGACUAAUUGGUGACAGGUUCACCCUUGAUGUGAAUUGUCUGUGAUGUGACUCAUUUCAUGAAAGCAUGAAUGUUAAUAUAUGUUUUUACUAUUCUGCUCACUGGGCUCUAGUAGCUCACCCCUCUCCCUUAACCCCCAGGUUUGCAGGUACAGGGUAGACCAGGAGGUCAGCAAGAGUAAUGAAGUCAUGGUCAUGUAAUAGCUAGAGUGGACAUGAUAAAUGUUGUUAUGUUAUGUUGAGUACAGUCAUGUAAAAGUAUGAUAUAGAAUGUCAUGUAAUAAUGCUUAUGAAAGUUUAUAGUUGUGCUUGACCAUAGUAUUAUGUUAAUCCCUUCUAAUACAUGAUCUUAAUGUUUAAUGAUGCUUAUAUGAACCAAACUCAAUACAUGUUAUGUCACCCCUUUGGGGCAAUGAUGAGACUCCACAGAGAAGUUAAUGUUUAUGUAUAGUGCAUGCACAGGUUGAGUUUGGUGAAUGAAUGAAUGUAAAGAAAAGUUUAAAUUUUUUAUGUUUGUUGUUGAUCAUGUAUGGGAUUAAACAUGUUUACAGGAUGAUGUUAGGCUUGCUACGGGUCCCGGCGGCCUUAUGCCGACCUGGAUCCUAGCGCCGGUAGCGGUCCGGAUUUUCGGGUCGUUACAGAAGCACACAUAAAAACACAAAACACUAACCUUAGAAGAGAUAAGGGUAUUGCUGGAGCAUAGACUCCUGUGUCUCCCAGGUACAUUCUUCUAUGUUGUGGUGAUUCCAAAGGACUUUCACCAUCGGGAUUUCCUUGUUCCUCAGCUUUCUGAUCUGCAUGUCCAGGAACCGCACCAGCUGCUCAACAUAGGUGAGAUAUCCUAGAAUCUCUACAUCAGGCUCAUUAAGAACCUUG
rnacentral:lncRNA from 1 species